rnacentral:rRNA from 1 species
UCCGCAGGCGGACUAAUAAGUCAGUGGUGAAAUCCCUCGGCUCAACCGAGAAACUGCCAUUGAUACUGUUAGUCUAGAGUGUAGUUGGCGUAGGCGGAAUAUAUCAUGUAGCGGUGAAAUGCUUAGAUAUGAUAUAGAACGCCGAUCGCGAAGGCAGCUUACGAAACUACAACUGACGCUCAGGGACGAAAGCGUGGGGAGCGAACAGGAUUAGAUACCCUGGUAGUCC